AAUACCUGUAUUGAUCAACCAUUGUGAGAGUGAUCCGUCUAAAACCCAGAGCAGCCUAGAGCUCAGAGAUGGGAGGAGCGAAAGAGAGAGGCUGCAGAGAGGAUGGAGAAAGAGAGAGAGUCUGCAGCACAGUGAAAGGGAGAAGAGGUACAAGGGAAGAGAAGGGAAUCUGAGAAAGAAGCAGACGCAGAGCUGAAGGCAGGUGGGGAGGCAGAUUUCGGAAAACGCUGCCAGGCCACUGUGGGGAGAAGCCAAUGGACAAAAUGCUGCCUUCUCUUCCUCUGAAAAGAAGUAGCUGACAUGAUCUACACUUUGCCUCGGCCUCAACGUGGGACGCGAGAAGGCCUGGCACAUAUCGCUGUCAUAGAUUCAGCCAGUACAGUAAAAACCAAAAUGGGAAAUUCGUGACAAAUGCAGGCUCUAGUGGAAUGGAAUAGUCUGCAGCCUGGAUACAAACAGCCAUGGAGGAAGAAACUGCAAACAUCUGGCCGAAUGAAGACAGUGUAAACUAUGGCAAACAGCAGAUUGUUACAGUUUUGAACUGCUGUGGACAUACAGCUGCUGGCUGUGGGAUCUUCUUUUGAUAUUUUGACAAUUCACUGGAUUGGAAAUCAUUUCUAGCCCAUUUUGAAUUCUGUGGGAAUUUCACUGAAUAGAUGAUUUACUGGACCGCUCACCGACAACAAUGAAUGUUGAUUGAAGGCUUCAGACAGAGGAGUCAAAAGGCUUUUGGUAUAAUCCCCCAAUGCUAAAUGGAAAUCAAGUUUCCGUUGAUUGAUUUAAAAGGUGACUUUCUUGGCAUAACUGUGGAUUGGAGAGAAGAUAAAACCCUCAAACUGUUUGUGGGCAGUGCUCAUUACACUGUUGCACUGGUGCUUUGGAGUAAGAGCACUGAGAGAAAAAGGCCUGCUCUGUAUAUAUUCACUCCUUUGUGAACAAGGAGCUGGACUGCAUGCACCUAUAUGCAAUACUGUGAAUAAACUGUAAAAGAAAUUAAAAAAAAGAUUUAUGCAGUGUAUAAUG